rnacentral:misc_RNA from 1 species
GCAAACUUGGUCAUUUAGAGGAAGUAAAAGUCGUAACAAGGUUUCCGUAGGUGAACCUGCGGAAGGAUCAUUAAAGAGAAUAGGGGAUCCGUUCGCCUAACCGCGACGGCCCCGACCCUCCAACCCAUUGUUUACGAAACUAUAACGUUGCUUCGGCGUGUUCCCCUGAUGGGGGGUGCUCAAGCCCCGCUACAGGAGCGCCGGGGGUUAUUUUUUUCAAAACUCUUGUUAGAAACCAGUUUUUUAAAACGUCUAAGAAAAUUUGAUAAAUACUUCAAAACUUUCAACAACGGAUCUCUUGGUUCUGGCAUCGAUGAAGAACGCAGC